AGUGAGGGCAGCCAAGCCAUUUGGGUACAACCAGAUUACAACAGCUUCCGUGCUGAAGGCCUGGUAUACUACUGGUUUCAUACCAUCUGGAGUCACCUGGGAGUGUCUCAGUGGGGGAUUGUCUAGGUCAGGUUGGAUCAUGAGGGCUCUUUCUGACUAAGGGAAUAGUCGUUGAUGGAUGGGCUAUGUGAGAACAUGACUGGAGGAAACGGAACCUUUGGCAUCUUGUCCCGGCCCCUUCUCUCUCUUUGCUCACUGCUGCUAUGAGAUAAGCAGUCUCUUUUGUCACAUGCUCCUCUUGCUGCCUUGUCACUGGCCCAUUCCAGUGGAGUCAACUGCGGACUCUGAGAGACCCCUGAAGCUGCGAGACACAAGACCUGAAUGAUUGGAGAAGAGAAGCUUACCACAACCUUAGUUCCCCAGACCGUCACGGACCUCUUCCAAAUGGGGACCAGGGUACAGAGAACCCUGCAGAUACUUGAUAGUACAACAGAAAACCAAGUGUGGAUGACGACAGUGCUGUAUCCGAGAGAACUCUGGAGACUGGAUGCCUUUGGCUAUACACAAUGAACGUGUUUACUAAAAGAAAACUUUUUGAAAAAGGAGAAACUGCCAUUCAUGUCGAAGAAUCCUUCCUCAUCCAGCAAAAACAGAGCUGGAAUGCAGUCGAUGCAUUAGUGUGCUUCACUAUCCAACUGCAUGACAAACUUUGGUGAUAGACCCGUGGUCCUCAACCUCCCGAAUGCUGCAACUUUUAAUACAGUUUUUCAUGUUGUGAACCCAACCAUAAAAUUAUUUCAUUGCUUCUCCGUAACUGUAGUUCUGCUACUGUUAUGAAUCGUAAUAUAAAUAUCUGAUAUGCAUCCCCAAAGGAGUUGACCCACAGGUUGAAAACCACUGUAAUAGAUAAUGAGUGCUAAAAAAUUGCCAGAAUUGCCUAAAUCACUAUUAAUUUCUAACAAGAAACACAAAGCAAAGAUGGCUUUAAUGCACUUAGUUGUACGAAUGUUGUAGGAAAGCCUUGCAGGUAUUUUCGGAAAUGAUCAUAUUUCUAAGUUUCUAGUUGUUGUUGUAAAAGCACUUUUCCCUGGAAAAGAUUCUGUCAGAAAUCACCUUGUGUAUGUCUGUACAUAUGUGUCUGUAUAUGAAUGCACAUACUGUAUGACCCUGCACUAUAAAAACCGUUUGGAUUUUCAAGUUGGGGUACUACGCACCCAUUUCAUGAAGCCAGGAAAAUCUGCUAAAGCACAUCAGAUGAGUAUAAAAGUAUGAAAAAAUGACUGCAUAAAUGGACUGCUUAGUAUGGAUAGAAAAAGUAAUCUUUUCCCUCUUGGUAAAUUUUUGAUUACAAAGCACUUUAUCGUACAUAAAGCUUAAUAAAAUUUUCUCCCUUUAGUUCAUUCCACUGAUACCUACUCUGAA